rnacentral:tRNA from 1 species
GGCCCUGUAAGGUUUAAUAGAGCAAAACGCACCCCGUCUGGUUCUAGGGGUGGAUGCAGGUUCGAAUCCUGUCGGGGCCG